GCCAGGUGUGGUGGCUCACGCCUGUAAUCCCAGCACUUUGGGAGGCCGAGGCGGGUGGAUCACCUGAGGCCAGGAGUUCAAGACCAGCCUGGCCAACAUGGUGAAACUCCGUCUCUA
rnacentral:SRP_RNA from 2 species